GGACUACCAGGGUUUCUAAUCCUGUUUGCUCCCCUAGCUUUCGCGCCUCAGCGUCAGUCACAGCCCAGAAAACCGUCUUCACCACCGGUGUUCUUCCACAUAUCUACGCAUUUCACCGCUACACGUGGAAUUCCGUUUUCCCUAACUGUACUCUAGUCAAAUAGUUUCAAAUGCAGCUCCGGGGUUGAGCCCCGUGAAUUUCACAUCUGACUUAUCUGGCCGCCUACGCGCCCUUUACGCCCAGUAAUUCCGAUCAAUGCUUGCACCCUCCGUAUUACCGCGGCGGCUGGCAC
rnacentral:rRNA from 1 species